rnacentral:rRNA from 1 species
UACGUAGGUGGCAAGCGUUGUCCGGAUUUACUGGGCGUAAAGAGCGCGCAGGCGGUCGUUCAAGUCGCGUGUGAAAGCCCCCGGCUCAACUGGGGAGGGUCACGCGAUACUGAUCGACUCGAAGGCAGGAGAGGGUAGUGGAAUUCCCGGUGUAGUGGUGAAAUGCGUAGAUAUCCGGAGGAACACCAGUGGCGAAGGCGACUUUCUGGCCUGUUCUUGACGCUGAGGCGCGAAAGCUAGGGGAGCAAACGGG